CGGAGUAAGCGGGCCUUGAUCCCACAUAAACUAGUUAACAGCUAGCUACCCUAACCA
rnacentral:tRNA from 1 species